GACGAACGCUGGCGGCGUGCUUAACACAUGCAAGUCGAGCGAGGCCCUUCCUUCGGGAAGGUGUCCUAGCGGCGAACGGGUGAGUAACACGUGGGCAACCUGCCCUCAGCUCUGGGAUAACUCCGGGAAACCGGGGCUAAUACCGGAUACGACCUCUAAGGGCAUCCGAAGAGGUGGAAAGUUUUUCGGCUGAGGAUGGGCCCGCGGCCUAUCAGCUUGUUGGUGGGGUGACGGCCUACCAAGGCGACGACGGGUAGCCGGCCUGAGAGGGUGACCGGCCACACUGGGACCGAGACACGGCCCAGACUCCUACGGGAGGCAGCAGUGGGGAAUAUUGCGCAAUGGGCGAAAGCCUGACGCAGCGACGCCGCGUGAGGGACGAAGGCCUUCGG
rnacentral:rRNA from 1 species